UACGUAGGGUGCAAGCGUUGUCCGGAUUUAUUGGGCGUAAAGAGCUCGUAGGCGGUUUGUCGCGUCUGCCGUGAAAGUCCGGGGCUCAACUCCGGAUCUGCGGUGGGUACGGGCAGACUAGAGUGAUGUAGGGGAGACUGGAAUUCCUGGUGUAGCGGUGAAAUGCGCAGAUAUCAGGAAGAACACCAAUGGCGAAAGCAGCUCUCUGGGACGGUACUGACGCUGAGACGCGAAAGCGUGGGGAGCGAACAGG
rnacentral:rRNA from 1 species